CCAGUAGUUGCGGUUGGGGUCCUGGUCGGCCUUGAUGAGCACGGAGUAGGUCUCGCCGGAGUAGAUGUUGAGGUUCUUCACCACGAACGGCUUCACGUAGUGCCCGUCGGCCUCCACCACCGUCAUUUCGUGGCCCUGAAAGCAUGGUGCAAUCCGUGGAUCAUUAUUCACAUUCUCAUGUUGUAAACUCUUUGGUAACGGUGAUCGUUACGCUUUCUAAUAAAGCUGGGUGAACGCCUUUGGUCUAAAAAACUCUUUGGUAACUAUUGUAUACGUAUAUAUGAUUUACAAACUCAAAAAUUGACAGAGAUGCAUUCCAUUAGUUAUUGGCAUCGCCUUGCAAAAUGACUCUACAAUCUAGUACAUGCGUCUGAAAGGUCGAUGUUCAAAGCCCGGGAAACUAAGCGAAACAUUGACUGAAUAAACAAGAAAUAUUUUGUCGUGCAGCUGAGCAGGUACCUAGCUCCAUUUCGUUUAGGCCUGUUUUAGUUCCGAAAAAAUUUCAGAUUUCGAUAUUGUAGCAUUUUCGUUUUUAUUUGACAAAAAUUAUUUAAUUAUAAAUUAACUAGACUCAAAAAAUUUAUCUCGUGAUUUACAGACAAACUGUAUAAUUAGUUUUUAUUUUUAUCUAUAUCUAAUGCUUCAUGUAUGUGCCUCAAGAUUUUAUGUGAUAGAAAAUCUUAAAAAGUUUUUCGUUUUUUUGGUGAACUAAACCUUACUCCUUCGUCGCGGUUCAUGAGUAUGUAGGAGUACAUACUUGCAGCUUGCAGAGCAUACAUGUGUUUGGUUGAUGGCCACUGGCCCCACCACACGUCACAGCUUGUGACCCGCUACGUACGAGAAUCUAUAGGCGAUUAUUUGGAACUUGUUUAGUUCCAAAAUAUUUUGUAAAAUGGACACUGUAGCUCUUUCGUUUGUAUUUGACAAAUAUUGUCCAAUCAUGGACUAACUAGGCUCAAAAGAUUUGUCUCGUCAAUUCCGACCAAACUGUGUAAUUAGUUUUUAUUUUUAUCUAUAUUUAGUACUUCAUGCAUGUGUCUAAAGAUUCGAUGUGACGGGAAAUCUGAAAAAUUUUACAAAAUUUUUUGGGAACUAAACAAGGCCUUGGUUGGUGAUUCAAACGAGACUGCCAGACUUUUUUUUUUACAGAACAAACCUCGCCACAGAUUGUGGCGACGCCACUGUGACACCUCGCCGCACUUCAGGCGUGGUUAUCCGUGGCCGCGAUCCAAACAGCUAUACUGCCAUUUGCAGAGUUGUUAAUGACGGUUUGUAUAUAUUGGAUGCACGCAGUGGUUGUACAAUAUGAGGAAAGCAAUGACGACGACGGACUUAGAACUUGUUGGAUUAUUGACUUGGUCUCUCGCGUUUGCUUGCUACAGGUCAUUGCCACUUUGGUACACCAACUAAACUGUGGUUAAUAUAUAAUAACCAAAUGCAUGCAUCAGAGAGGUGCAGAUAGAAGCAGAAUGGCCAAACAUAGGGUGUUCAUAUUACCUAGCUGCGUUUGUCUUGUCUCGCCGCUAAGGCAAUGUGGUGUGCCCGAUCUGAUCUGCCUUAGGCGCGUUGCAGCUUGCGUGGCAACGUCUCAUCCUAACUUUUUAUAUAUAGAAGUAUACUAUACUAUACAUGCAGUGCUAUAUAGCGAGCAAACAGUAUAUAGUGUCCUGUACGAGGCAAAAGAACGAUAUAUAAUAGGUGCACGCAGGCAUAUUCCCUGUACUUUGUUUGCUCUACCAAACUACGGAUCCAAACAUACGUGUAUAGAGUAUAUAUUACGCCCGCCAGGACCAGGAGAACGGCACAGUCUUACUUGGAUGCGCGGUUAACGGCUAGAGUUGCACACAUGCACGCCUCGCCUUUUCGUCUACGGGGAAGAUAAAACAAACUUACUGUACACGCGUAGCAUGCAGCAGCCGGCCGGCUUGCGUGCGGCUUGCCCGAGGCACGACAUUUGCCUUGGAUUGUGGCGCGAAAUUGCAACAGAUUAUUGUUGUCGCCACCAACCGCUUUGGAAAAAUGUGCACUACGUAUAUGUACUCGAUCCACACCGGCUGUGUCCGGCCGUGCGUGCAUCCAGCAGCAGCACCACCUCCGGUGGCCGCCGCCGGUCCAUCACCUACCGUCAAUUUGACGCGGCCGGCCGGCCGGCGGCGUCAUUAGCGAAUAAAACUGCCCACGUUGCACGCGCUACCCGGCGAUUAUUCUGCGACAGCAAGGUACGUAGCACAUGGCGCCGCGGUAUAUGCUUUUGACUGCAAUAUCGUAGGGCCACAUGCAAUGCUGUCGCUAGCUACGCUACCGAUCCGGGAUUUGGCAGUCCAAAACUAUUAAUAUUUAUUAUUUGGUUUUAUUACAGUUUAUAAAUUAUAUAAAGUUUAGCCAAAGUAUGGGAAAAAUAUUUAUAUUAUUAAAUAAUCUCGCAACAUUUGUUAUUUGUUAUAGAAUUUAUUUUUAUAUAAUAUACUUAAUUUGGUAUCCUAAACGUUGCAAUAUGUCUCUACAAAUUUCCUAAACGAGAGGGUAGUAGUUACUCCUAUGUUUAAUCUCACAACUUUUUUUAUUUGUUAUAUAUAUAAUAUACUUAAUUUGGUAUCAUAAAUGUUGUAAAAUGUCUCUCGAAAGUUCCUAAACGAGAGGGUAGUAGUUAUGUCUCGUGCCUCUAGUUUGGGUCAAAUCGAAUCAUGGAGUAAUUUCCCGCUGAAAUCUUAUAUUCAAUUCAAACUUGAUUCACAUACACCGUCGUUUCAGGGCACUAUCCAUCUACUAUUGUUAAUUAUUAUUAUUGACAUAUGUAGAGUUCAUCUAGCUCUAUGGGCUUGCUUUUUUUUAUGUAACUUGUACGGGCAUGUUUGCCUAAUGAAGUUAUCUAGCCUAGACAGCUCCAUAUAUACAAAACUAUAUAUGCAACCAAAAUCGGACGCCUGAGAUUGUUCCUUAUGCUUAACAACUUUCUCAUAAUCUGAACAAAAAAAAGCACUACAUGACGUAUUGAUGGAGUUACAGAUGAAAUAUGCACAUAAUAAAUAGUCGUAUACUCGUAUGAUCAAUGGAUGAUAUGGUUCCUUAUUUCGCAUCCUAUUUGUGUGCUGGCAAGUUGACAAUGGCUGUCUAUACAUAUAUCACUCUGUCACUGACGCGGUCCACGCCUAUCCAAAGUGGUGCGCGUCAUCUAAGUUUUUAUUCUUUGCUUCAUCCAAAUGGUGGUGUGUAUUGUCAACUUUUUAUAACAGUAUUGUCAAUAAUUAUUGUGACUGAUGAUUUCACAUUUUACCAUAUAUGCAUGUCGCUGAUAAUUAAAUUCUGAAUUACCAUAGUAUAUAUAUAUAUAUAUAUAUGCUAACUUUUACCAAACAUGGUUGUCAUCAUUUUCUUCAGUUUGACUAAUAAGAUGUUUUAGAUCUCGACACCUGCUUUCUUAACUGUUAACAAGUUGAAAUAUUACAUAAAAAAAAAUACGAUGCCGGGAAACAAAUAAAGCGACAAUGAGAGAAAUCAAACGUGCUUACCUCGAUCUCAAAGUUGAGCGCGGACAGCGACGUGACGCUGGCAAUGCGGAACCUGUAGGUCUUGCCAGGCACGACGGCGAACACCGGCGCGGCGCACUCCGGGAGGGUGGCGUUGCAGGUCAUCCCGGCCGCCGCGGCGGCGGAGCAGUUGACGAACCUGCCGCGGCCGUUGAUGAGCAGCGACUGCGGCUCCCCGACCCAUCCGAGCGGCACGGACGCGAGCCCCGUGGCCUGCUCGUAGGUGCUCUUGUGCCACCAGUCGUUGAGGAGCACGUGGUGCUCGCCGUCGUACCGGAACGGCUCGGCGUCCGGCCCGCCGCGCGCCGCCGCCACGACGAUGAGGCCGUUGAGCCCCGCCGAGCGCUGCAUCCCGUAGUGCGCGUGGUACAUGUAGGUGCCCGGGCGGUCGACGACGAAGGUGUAGGUGAAGGUGUCGCCGGGGAGGAUGGGGCACUGCGUGACGCCCUCGGUGCCGUCGGCCCACGGCGUGCCGAUCUGCCGGAUGCCGUGCCAGUGGAUGGCAACGUUCUCGGUGAGCAGGGAGUUCUUCACCCGGACCACCACGGUGUCGCCCUGCGUUGCGCGGAUGGUCGGCCCGGGCGUCUGCCCGUUGAUGGUCACCGCGAGCUUGCGCACGCAGUCGGGGCUCUUGAACUGGUAGCUGAUCUCCCACUCCUGGUGGACAGUGGCGGCGCGCGCGGCCGCUGCCAGCGACAGGGACAGGAAGAGGCAGCAGAGGAGCCAGGGUAGCCGACCCAUGGCCGGAACGAGACUCACCACAGCUGGUUGGAGCUCGAUUUGCGCUCCUUUAGACAGCUACCCCUGUCACCGUCGGCAAGCUAGCUAGCUAGCCGCGUUGGUUGCUGGGGUUUGGAGCGAUCCUUUAGCUCUGGCUGCUACUGGACGCAGCUGCAAUGUACUAUAGCUGCUAUGUGUCAAGGUGCUCCUGUGCUGUGUGCCUGUGUUGCAUAUAUAUACACAUAGUAGUCGCGAGACGAGAUCAAUAUCUUGAACUAUAUUUUAUUGCGUCAAAUAUAUCAAAGGAUCAACGCGCUGCCACCAAACGCCUUUGUCACAUUCUGACUCGGGAUACAGGAACCACACAGGCAAGUACUAGUUCAAUGCUGCUGCUAUAAUGGACAAUAUCUUUAUAUUGAGACAUUCAGGUUCAAAUUGAAAGCCCCUCGAAGGUGAUCACACCCAGACCCAUCAGGGCCGCAUCAACAGAGCUGGGCAGAACUAGGCUCACAUAGAAUUCGUCACCGUACCUUUUAAUCUAUCGAAAAAGGAUUGAGCAAAGCCAGCAUUGUCUCCUCUCUUCUUCAAACAAAGCCAACUUUGAAGUAAUCUCUGUUGGACAAUUCGCACAAAUAUAUAUCUACAUGGCCAAAUUACUGUUUAGACAUGUUUGUAGACGCUGCUGAGUCAUCCGAAUAUACUGUUUCAGUUCAGACUUCCGAAGAGAAAAUUAGUUUAGCAAGCCGUCCCUUCCUUUUACCGUUAGCCAAAAACAAUAAUAAAAAAAGCACAUCGUAGACGCUGCUGAGUCAUCCAAUUAUCACGCUUUACAGCUGGUAAUGACAUAAUCGGGAUUAUUUCAAUGUGCAAUGGAAUUUCUAGCAAAAGCUGGCCAGCUCUGCUAUGGCCCUUUCUGCAGCAAUUCUUUUCAGCUUUCUCAAAACUCAAUUCAUAUUUGUGUUGCCUGUUUUAACAGCUUUUUCGCUGGAUGGACGCGGUUUAGAGAAAAUUCGCAGCUCAGACCAAUCAUCAUAUAAAACAACAGCAAUUCUCUUUACAGCUUUGGCCCCCUUUUUCCCGAUAUGACAGCGAAUCUUAUCAGUUAUUUAUUAUAUUACAACGAUAUACAACUGUUUCUCCCUAGCUAGAUGAAGCCAAUGUAUAUGUAUGCGUGUACACAGAGAUCUCGUAAAUGGUUUCUAUAACGGUUGAACGAUGGUACCUCAUAUGCUUCGGCAAGAAUUCGAUCCCUCUUUCAAUACCUACAUACAGUAUAUAUACCAAUAGCAUGCAGUGGUGUAAAAAUAGAUUUGUUGUCACUGUCUUGAUCAAAGUUACUACAAUACCAGAAAACACUCGUUUAGCCCACGUCUUAAUUACUAGUACCACUCAAGACGUUGAAAUUAAAUUCCUUCAUAAAUGAAUUACAUGAGUAAUAAUAUUGUUUUAUAAAUAGAUUGAGUGCUUAUAGUUAAACUAACGACUGUGAUAUGCCAUAAUGUUUCGUUAAAAUAUAUAAACUUAUAUAAAGUAACACAUUAUAAACCUUAUUAUUGUCUAGACCCGGCAAUGAUAAGUGGUAAAAGAAAGAAAUAUCUGUUUCUUAAUUCAAACUCAAGACCUCGAUGUUCAAAUUCCUCAAGAGCUCAUACAAGCUGAGUUACGCAACUUUUUUUCACUAACACGCCCGUCCCAGAAUGGACGUGUAUUUCAUUGCCGGUCCGCUUCUAUGUGACUUUGGCUGCCGCCGACCACACCCGUCGCCGCUCCUUGCAGUUAGUGGCCGACGAGCCACCGGAAUAAGGAGAUCUCUGCACCUCCUCUGCCCCCUUCGUCUUCCCAUAUGUGUUUUUGGCCUGGUCCCUUUCCCUUGCAAAUGAUAUACUCUUUUCUCCAAAACCAUUUUUUCACUAGGUUUUUCAGAUGUAAUUUUUAACAAGACAUAUGCAUGUUACGAUGAUUGCCCAAAAGUGAGUGGCGUACUUUCAACAACAAAGCUUCAUCCAUUGGUGCGGUGGCUCGUGCAGCUGUGUUGGAGGCAGAUGAGUGGGUACAGGCAGGGUUUUCCUGCAUCUCUGUGCUCGCUACCUACUGGUCGCAAAAUUUGUUUGUUUUGUAAUAAACUUGCUUGGUGUAUCCAGUAGCCAGGGCUAUUGUUUGGUUCUUGGCUCUUGCUAUUGGCCUCUCGCCACUAGCUGAGCGUACCUCUGUAACCGUUCUAAACUCUACUCCCUCUUAAUGAAAUACGGGCCAUAGGCCUUGUUCGUGAAAAAAAACAUUCGAACUCUAAACUGGAAGGAAACGAAAGGAGAAAUUUUAAUCCAAGUUCAUUUUUUAUCGAGCCCUCACCAAGUUGUUAAGCUUUAGUCAUACUAUAUAUUCGUGGGAGUUCUACAUUAUAGUGGUCAAUAUUUAGUGAAAAAAUUAAUAGUUCCACUACUUAGUGCCUCUAUGUUCCUCUGAUUUUAUCUACCAUAUUGAUUAUGAAACAUGGAUAGGGAAAAUCCCAUAACCGGUGAGUGGCGACUUGUUUUAUAGCAGUAGAGAUCAUUGUGUAGUAGUGAGAAAAAACAAUGAACGAAACAGUACUGUCAGAUAAAAAGAAAAUGUUUACUAUAAUUUCUAUACAUGAUAUAACUAACUGUAAAAUCAUCAGUGGCCACCUUUGGUUUUCCCACAUCCCAUGAUCUCCGGCGGGAGAUUAGCGACACGUUGAAUGCCUUCCUCGAAGACGAUUCCCAUUCCCAUGAAGAAAUGGGCCUCGAUGUGGCAAUGGAACGCCCACACUCCAGGGUUAUCCGCCUUGAACCGCACCGCCGUCCAGCCAUAUGGAUGCACCGCCACCGUGUUCUUCAGUAUCGGGUCCUGCAAGUUGUAUGACGCCGGGUGCACCGCCGGGUCGAAGCGGCCGAUGCCAUAGCCGAGCACCCAGAAGUCAUGCCCAUGCAGGUGCCACGGGUGCGUCUCGCACUUGUUGGCCGCCAGCAUGUUGGCGUUCUGCAGCACCACGUCGACGACGGAGCCGAACUGCAGCCGGUAUAGCCCGUCGCUGAUCGUCGCGUUCGGGUUCGGCGGCGGAGCGUACACGUCGUACCCCUGGUGCGUGUAAUUCUCCGGCGGCGGCCGCUGGUCGAAGGCGCCGAGGAGGCCGUUCUUCAUGGCCACCAGGUACGGCGUGUGCGGCAGCCUGAAGGAUACGCCGUUGAGCGCCCAUUUGAUGUGCCCGUCGAUCUUGUUCUGCGUGUUGAGCAGGAGGAUGGUGCGGUCGGCGCGCGGCGGCGGAGGCUCGACGUGCGCCGGGUGCGCCACCGUCGCCACGCUCUGCUGGAACCGGUACAUGGUGUCGUUCCAGGCCGGGCCCGUGGGCGGGGUUGUCGACGGCGGUGCGCGGUCACCGCUGUAGCUCAGAAUGGCGGUGCCGGUGGGUGUGGCAGGCUCGCGGCUGACGACGUUGGAGGCGAGCCAGUAGUUGCGGUUGGGGUCCUGGUCGGCUUUGAUGAGCACGGAGUAGGUCUCGCCGGAGUAGAUGUUGAGGUUCUUCACCACGAACGGCUUCACGUAAUGGCCGUCGGCCUCCACUACCGUCAUUUCGUGGCCCUGAACGAAAGCAUGAUGCAAGCCGUGGAUCAAUUACCUGAUGUUCAGGUUAAAAAAAAAAUUGGCAUAGAUGGAUGCGCGGUCAAUUAACUAUUUGACGAAGAUCAAAAUUCAAAAUUUACAUUUCAAUUUGCUCCGUUCAAGUCUUGUCAAAAGAUUUGCUCCGUUCAAGAGUGAAAGCGAUGUUUAUUGAGCCGAUCUUUAAACACUAAAGUCAGAUUUGGGCCAAUUGAAGGCAUAAAACAAAUGAAUCUAGCGUGGUAUUUUUUUUUCCCUGAAACUUAUGGUUUCCGUUUCAAAAAUAAUAAUAAUUUGAUUAAUAGUUGGUGAAAUUGUUUACUUUUUAUACCCGUAAUAUGAAUAUUGAAUACUACUACUACUGCACAUAUCCUAAGAUACUGUUGUUGCCUUUUGUUGCUUCAGAAUCUGCAGUUUUCAUAUUUCUGAAGAGUAAGGACUAUGGAAAUUUCAUUGCUUUGACGUUCUGGACCAUAUGGAAAACAUGAGCUUCAGUUGGUAAUUUCCACGCAAAUGAAGCUGCGAGCGAGUACUAUAUUCACAACAACUCCGGGAA
rnacentral:lncRNA from 1 species